UGACCAACGGUCCUGAUUGAUGUAGAUACUUUCCAUAUGUUCAGUGCCAACACUUAUUGGACUUCUCCAAAGAAAGUUAAAUGUGCCAUUUUCCAGGAAAUUUCAAGGAAGAGAAAAGGGAAUCUCCCUCUCUCUAAAAGAAGAGAUUAUAAAUAGAGGGUGGAGGGCCGAAGCUUACUCAUUCAAUCCAUUAUUGGAAACAAAGGAAGAGAUCAUGAAUACAAAGGGUUGUAUGCUUCUUUGCAUUCUCCUCCUUUCCAUUCUUCUCAUCCCUAGUAAGAUAUCAGCAAGCCGGAUGCUCUACAAUUCCCAUGUAGAUCAACAGGAGGCCAGCCAUCAGGUGGAUGCAGUCCACGUCACACCCAUUCAUUAUGGCUAUCUUGAUCCGAAUAAACCUGUCAAUGGUGGUGGCGGACGCGGCUAUACUCGUCCAUGCACCAAAGUUUACCCUUGCCGACCACCCGGUCCUUAAUACAUAGAAUAUCAUAUAACUAUAUAUAUACAGACACAUGUUUAGGCUGUGUUUGGUUGCACCAAAUAUCAUGAAAUUAAAUAAUAUUUCAUGAUUAAUCAAGUCUAACUUGGUGAAAAAUAUCAUGAGAGUUAUGGUAUUUAGUGCAACCAAACUCAACUAUAAGCAAAUGGUUAUUAUAAUUACAUAAGUGAGUUAAUUAAAGGAGCUGGAUGGAUUAGUACGCUACUGAAGCAAUUGAGUUGUUGGUUUGAGGAUAUGGUGUGUUUUUAUAUUAGCAUGGUCCAUUUGUGUGAGCCCAAAUUCUAAGUUGUUUGGGCCUUCUAGGAGGGCUUUCGAUAGUAUUUAUAUGUUUUUCAAGAAUAUAGUUGUAUUUGAAUCUUGUGAGCA